GCCAGAGCACCGUUCCCCGUUCUCCUCAUUAUUGCAUAACAACAACUUUCCAGCCAGCCCUGGAUUGCUGGAGACCUCCAGUGGUUGACUCUCAGUCGACCCUAAUCCCAGCACUCCCCCGUGAAUGGCUGUAAUAACACCAGCUGUCUGUUACUCAAACUCUGACUGAGGAGGAAAAAGCACUGAUUAUCCAAAUACAGUCAUUAAAGGGGAAAUGUGUUUUUAGGACUGUCAGAGUGAUUAAUGAGGGCUAGCCGUCUUUGCAAAUGCACUUGUUUAGUCUAACUGGCAGCUUCUAUUUUCCUAUUGAUUUAUUGCAGCAGUUGCCUGGGCCUUGGUGUGUGCAGAGUCAGGGCACUUCACAACUGUGUGCUGUUUAAACAGGAAGAGCGACACCAUUUUGCCAGGGGAGGAGGGAGCAGGCUCCAGCCACCCCCUUUAGCUCAGCACUUCUGAGCCCAGGCCAACAAAGAAGACGCUAAAAUCUGCGGCCAGAAGAAGGAAAUGCCUUCUCUUCAGCGAGGUCUCUGAGAUCCCUCGUCAUUAGUAAAAUCCAGGUCUACAGGCUCUGGACCUAGCAAUCAGCCAUUAUGAGACUUGGACCACCUAAACCUUGCAUCUGUGUGAACAUCAAGGAAUUCCAUUUUGGAGGUCACAUUGCAAAGGACUGUCAUCUCCAAAACAGGUCAAUGAUUGCUUCCCAGAGGCUGGCCCAGUUGAGGAGAGAGAAUGGGUGUCCAACCUAAAAAAGCCCUGAGGCUCAGGCUGUUACAACGAGUUGAAGUGAGGAAGAGGGAUUUACUGCUCUUUAAGAAGUGUCCUCCCCUUCCAGGGACAUGCCCAGAGGCUUGGAGGUCUGGACAAUGUGUCUUGGGAUGGAUUGGAAGCCAGCAGGAGGCGCUGGGACCAAAUCCAUCAAGACUCAAACCCUCACAGAGGGCUCCAAUAAAAUUCUGGAUGAUUUCUCCAGU